AGUGAACGCUGGCGGCGUGCUUAACACAUGCAAGUCGAACGGUAACAGAUAGUACUUGUACUAUGCUGACGAGUGGCGAACGGGUGAGUAAAGUAUAGUUGAUUUGCCUUUAGGAUAGGGAUAGCCAUUGGAAACGAUGAUUAAUACCUAAUAUACCUUUUAUUGUAGUGAUAAAAGGGAAAUGCUUUAUUGUGCCUAAAGAUAAGACUAUAUGGUAUCAGGUAGUUGGUGGGGUAAGAGCCUACCAAGCCAAUGACGCCUAGCUGGUCUGAGAGGAUGAUCAGCCACACUGGAACUGAGACACGGUCCAGACUCCUACGGGAGGCAGCAGUGGGGAAUAUUGCACAAUGGAGGAAACUCUGAUGCAGCAACGCCGCGUGGAGGAUGACGCAUUUCGGUGCGUAAACUCCUUUUAUAUGGGAAGAUAAUGACGGUACCAUAUGAAUAAGCACCGGCUAACUCCGUGCCAGCAGCCGCGGUAAUACGGAGGGUGCAAGCGUUACUCGGAAUCACUGGGCGUAAAGCGCAUGCAGGCGGUUUAAUAAGUUGGAAGUGAAAGCCUAUGGCUCAACCAUAGAACUGCUUCCAAAACUGUUAGACUAGAGUCUGGGAGGGGAAGAUGGAAUUAGUAGUGUAGGGGUAAAAUCCGUAGAGAUUACUAGGAAUACCAAAAGCGAAGGCGAUCUUCUGGAACAGUACUGACGCUGAGAUGCGAAAGCGUGGGGAGCAACAGGAUUAGAUACCCUGUAGUCCACGCAGUAACGAUGAAUGUUAGUCGUUGUGUCCUAGAGACAUCAGUGAUGCAGUUAACACAUUAAACAUUCCGCCUGGGGAGUACGGUCGCAAGAUUAAACUCAAAG
rnacentral:rRNA from 1 species